rnacentral:rRNA from 1 species
GACGAACGCUGGCGGCGUGCUUAACACAUGCAAGUCGAACGGUAAGGCCCUUCGGGGUACACGAGUGGCGAACGGGUGAGUAACACGUGGGUGAUCUGCCCUGCACUUCGGGAUAAGCCUGGGAAACUGGGUCUAAUACCGGAUAGGACUCCGGACUGCAUGGUCUGGGGUGGAAAGCUUUUGCGGUGUGGGAUGGGCCCGCGGCCUAUCAGCUUGUUGGUGGGGUGAUGGCCUACCAAGGCGACGACGGGUAGCCGGCCUGAGAGGGUGACCGGCCACACUGGAACUGAGACACGGUCCAGACUCCUACGGGAGGCAGCAGUGGGGAAUAUUGCACAAUGGGCGAAAGCCUGAUGCAGCAACGCCGCGUGAGGGAUGAAGGCCUUCGGGUUGUAAACCUCUUUUAGCAGGGAAGAAGCGAAAGUGACGGUACCUGCAGAAAAAGCACCGGCUAACUACGUGCCAGCCGCCGCCGCGG